rnacentral:RNase_P_RNA from 1 species
AAUAGCGUUCGGGUAAUCGCUGCAAUAUAUUUUUAUAUUGUAGAGGAAAGUCCAUGCUCGCACAGGCUGAGAUGCCUGUAGUGUUCGUGCCUAGCGAAUUCAUAAGCUAGGGCAGCUUGGCUAUUGCUUGGCUGACGGCAGGGAAAAUGCCUAAGUCCUUCGGGAUAUGGCAUGAAUACCUUGAAAGUGCCACAGUGACGUAGCCUUUUCAGAAAUGAAAAGGGUGGAACGAGGUAAACCCCGCGAGCGAGAAACCCAAAUGAUGGUAGGGGCACUUUCCCUGAGGAAAUGAACAACGGGAAGGACAGGCGAAUGCCUGUAGAUAGAUGAUUACCACCUGAGUACGAGACAUUAGUCGCUUGCAGUACUACGGUACAAAACAUGGCUUACAGAACGUUAUUAGUG